CCUACGGGGGGCAGCAGUGGGGAAUAUUGGACAAUGGGGGGAACCCUGAUCCAGCCAUGCCGCGUGUGUGAAGAAGGCCCUCGGGUUGUAAAGCACUUUCAGUGAGGAAGAACGCCUGGUGGUUAAUACCCAUCAGGAAAGACAUCACUCACAGAAGAAGCACCGGCUAACUCCGUGCCAGCAGCCGCGGUAAUACGGAGGGUGCGAGCGUUAAUCGGAAUUACUGGGCGUAAAGCGCGCGUAGGUGGCUUGAUAAGCCGGUUGUGAAAGCCCCGGGCUCAACCUGGGAACGGCAUCCGGAACUGUCAAGCUAGAGUGCAGGAGAGGAAGGUAGAAUUCCCGGUGUAGCGGUGAAAUGCGUAGAGAUCGGGAGGAAUACCAGUGGCGAAGGCGGCCUUCUGGACUGACACUGACACUGAGGUGCGAAAGCGUGGGUAGCAAACAGGAUUAGAUACCUUGGUAGUC
rnacentral:rRNA from 1 species